GGGAAUCAAGAAGCAGGGUGGCCCUGGGAACCUCAGGGACAAGAUGUGGAUCCCCCUCUCCUCAAGACUACCUCCCUCCCCAUCUCAACCAGGAUGUUGAAACCCUGGUUGAUGGUGGCUCAAGGGCUCACAUCCUCCUGGUAUAGUUCCCUUAGGGCUGAUGUGAAAAUGUCCUGGGAAGGCCUCUGACAGAGCAAGCUCGGGCCAUGUCUCCUCUCCUAUGAAUUCAGUUGUCUUAGCUCGAGUGGCUCUAACGUAGUAUUAUAGACUGAGUGGUUUAAGCCACAUUUAUUUCUCACAGUUCUAAAAGUUGGGAGGUCUGAGAUUAGGGUGCCAUCAAGGUCACAUUCUGGUGAGAGUCCUCUUCCUGGUGUACAGAAGGCUGCCUUCUUGCUGUGUCCUCACAUAGCGCAGAGCAGAGAGAGGAAGCAAGCCCUCACCUCCUGUGGGAGCACCCAUCCCAUUCAUGAGGACUCCAUCUCCUGACCUAAUCACCUCUGAAAGCCCCUGCCCCCCUAUGCCCUCACCCUGGUGCUUAGGAUUUCAACAUAGGAAUUUUCUGGGGCGGGGAUACAUUCAGUCCAUAACAUGGGUUAAGGAGAGGGGGCCAUGUGCGCUUGAAGGAGGCUGUUAUGACUGGCAGUGCCAUUAAAACUACCUAGUUGGAGCAGCGAGGUUGAAUCCUCCAAAAGAAAGAAUGAGUCGUUCUCAUAAGGCGGGGUGGUGGCCAUGUAAGAUAAGUAGAUCCCACCACAACAGUAAAUAGUAAAGCUUCAAAAUGCAAAUAACCUUCCCCACUAAAUGCCACGCACUCUGUUUAGGAAGAGAAAUCAACCCUAAGGGCCUUGGCUCUUAAAGAAUAGUGCCCAACAGAGUUUUCUUUUUCUUUUUUUUUUCUAAAUUUAUUUUGUUAAAGUAUAGUUGAGGAAUUCCUGUCGUGGCUCAGCAGGUCACGAACCCAACUAGUUUCCAUGAAGAUGCAGGGUUUGAUUCCUGGCCUCACUCAGUGUGUUAAAAGAUCCAGUGUUGCCAUGAGCAGUGGUGUUGGUCACAGACGCAGUUCGGAUCUAGUGUUGCUGUGGCGUGGCACAGGCCAGCAGCUGCAGCUCCACUUCGACCCCUAGCCUGGGAACGUCGAUGUGCCUCAGGUGCAGCCCUGAAAAAAAUAAAGGGUAGUUUGAUUUACAAUGUUGUAUUAAUUUCUGCUGAACAUUCUUUUUCUUAUUCUUUCCAUUAUGAUUUCUCACAGGGUAUUGAAUAUAGUUCCCUAUGCUGUGCUACAGGACCUUGUUGUUUAUCCUGGAAAACCCUGGUCUCUCUCUCUCUUUUUUGUCAAUUUCUUUUUAAAAAUUUUUUAUUGGAAUAUAGUUGAUUUACAGUGUUGUGUUGGUUUCAGGUAUACAGCAAAGCAAUUUGGUUAUACAUAUACAUGUAUCUGUUCUUUUUCAGAUUCUUUUCGCUUAUAGAUUAUUACAGAAUAUUGAAUAGAGUUCUCUGUGCUCUACAGUAGGUCCUCGUUAGUUAUCUGUUUUAUAUAUAGUAGUGUGUAUAUUUUUUCUUUGCUGUGCCCACAGCAUAUGGAAAUUCCUGGGUCAGGGAUCGAACCCAAACCACAGCAGCAGUUCUAGCUGCUGCAGUGACAUCACCGGAUCCUUAACCCACUGAACCGCAAAGGAACUCCAGGUGUGUGUAUUUUAAUCUCAAACUCCUAAUUUAUCCUUGCCCUACCCAACAUUUCCUCUUUGGUAACCAUAAGUUUGUUUUCAAAAUUUGUGAGUCUGUUCAGAGCUGUUUUUCUAAUCAUGUUCAGCCAUGACAAAUACUGCUGUGUUCCUAUCCCUUCAAGAAAGCACUUUAGCACAGAGGGUGACUGUGUGGUUCUCCUUCUAUAAAAUGUCUAGACUAGGCAAAUUCAUAGAGACAUUAGGUAGAUUAGUGGUUGCCAGGGGCUGGGGGGAGGUGGAGGUGAGAGCUAAAGGGUAUGGAGUUUCUUUUUGAGAUGAUGCGAAUAUUCUAAAAUGAUGGUGAUGGUUGCAUAACUUUGUGGAUAUACUAAGAACCAUGGAUUGUUUGUUUAUUUAUUUAUUUAUUUAUUUUGUCUUUUUGUCUCUUUGCUGUUUCUUUGGGCCGCUCCCGCGGCAUAUGCAGGUUCCCAGGCUAGGGGUCUAAUCGGAGCCGUAGCCACCGGCCUACACCAGGGCCACGGCAACGCGGGAUCCGAGCCGCGUCUGCAACCUACACCACAACUCACGGCAACGCCAGAUCGUUAACCCACUGAGCAAGGGCAGGGACCGAACCCACAACCUCAUGGUUCCUAGUCGGAUUCGUUAACCACUGCGCCACGAUGGGAACUCCGGAUUGUUUACUUUAAAUGGAUGAAUUAUAUGAUAUGUGAGUUAUAUUUUAAGCUAUUAAAAAAAAAUAGAGGGCUGAACGGUUUCCUCUUAAAGAGUCUUAGAAACUGGAAAAAUAAGAAAAGCAGUCAGACACCCUAGCAGCAAACCAGACACACACUGGAGAUAGUGGAUGGGGAUAAGGUCAUGAUUUAACUCAGAGCUGUUCAAGUGUGGGGCCCUCACCAGCAGCUGCAUCUCCCAGGAGCUCCUUAAAAAUGUGAAUUCGUAGGUCAUAUCCCAAACUACCAGUCAGAAUCCUUAGGCAUCACUAAAGUUGAGGAAGUAUUAAUGUAACCUGUUCCUUUUUUUUCCGCACCCACAGGGUAUGAAAGUUCCUGGGCCAGGGGUUGAACCCAUGCCAUAGCAGUGACCCAAGCUGCUUCAGUAACACCACUGGAUCCUUAACCCACUGCACCGUAAGAGAGCUCAUGUUGCUUUUUAAUGAAUAAGAACUCCUUCCCUAACAGUGUGCAAGGUGCUUUCUAAACUGCAGGCCCAACAAGACUUAAAAGCAGCAAUAAGGUAGUUUAUAAAAAUGUUACUCAGACAAAGGAACCUUAAUUCUGUACUUUGCAGAUAACGAUACCAACAUAGCAGGGCUUAUUAGCAACCAAUGGUUAUUUGCAGAGAAGGUGGUUAUUUGCAGAAAGCUACUGAAGCAGUUAACCAGACUGAUGUGCCCCGAAACUGCACAUAUUUUCUCCAUGACCUGCCAGAGAGAUACCUCUAUCAUUUUUCUCCAGUGAAGAUGCUGAAAUUGGUGCGAAUGCAAUGAAAGCUGAGAUGCAGGUAGAAAUUCAGAGAUAGUUUUGUCAUCUUGAAAGCCAAUUACUUGCUCCGGUGCCACAUUUCCAGAUCCAAGGUUUGAGGACAAAUUUAUCUCCUGUGAUCAUGUGAAGCAUUGUAAGUGCUGCACACAUAUUAGAAAUAAAAAACCAGAGCAAGAAAAACAAUCUUAAGGCUGCUCCUGAAAAAUAUUCAGAAAUAAUCUUUAAACCAUGUACAAAGCUCAGGUAGUGAGCCUGCUUCAGUGAAAUUGCAGCGUCACCAUCCACCUAACCUUGGACAACAGGAGGUAAAUUUUGACCUUGGUCAGUUACUAUUAGAAAAGAAACUUAAUAAAUUGGUAACAACGUCACUAGGAGCAGAACUCUGUGCUGGCGGUACUGGCCAAAAACAUGGUACCCUGUUCUGACUUCACUUGAAAGUGAAUAUCCAUUUGGUACAAAAUUGCAAAGGUUGGUGCAGUGGUUGAAAGAGCAUUCCAGCAGUUUUCUUAGCCUAGAUGUUUCUGUAGCUCCAAUAAACUGUCAUGCUUUAUUAUUUUUUCUUUUUUUCUUAAUGAAUUUUAUUACAUUUAUAGGUGUACAACCAUCAGCACAACCAAAUUAAACUGUCACACUUUAAAAAGCGACUACUAUAACUGUUAAUAACAAAAUUGUAAUAUUUUAAACUGUAAUUUUAUACAUGGAUGUUCAUUUUAGGAUAGAGUAUUUGGUUCUGGCCUUGCUUGGGCCAUUGGGCAUGUGGUUGAAAUGUGUAUUUUGUGUCUCCCUGCUUUACAAUGGACAAAACUUAAAAUUAACAUUGGAUAUCCUGGUUCUUAAAACAAUUCCUUGGCCCCCUCUACAGCUCCGUAUCCGCUUGUGUCCUUGUUAAGCUCUCCCUCUCUUCUUGCCCUUCUCUGCUUUGUUCCUCUUAGGAGACAAAUAGAAAUUGUUUCUAUUGGAGUUUCCAUCAUGGCAUAAUGGAAAGGAAUCUGACUAGUAUCCAUGAAGAUGGGGGUUCAAUCCCUCACCUCGCUCGUUGGGUUAAGGGUCUGGCUUUGCUGCAAACUGUGGUGUAGGUCGCAGACGAGGCUUGGAUCUGGUGUUGCUGUGGCUGUGGUAUAGGCCGGCGGCUACAGCUCCAGUCCAACCCUUAGCCUAGGAACCUCCAUAUGCCACAGGUGCAGCCCUAAAAAGCAAAGAAGAAAAGAAAUUGCUUCCAUUUUCUUAGAGGGGCAAUUCAGCCCUCUCCCACCUCUGCUUCCAAAUUUACCUAGGGCCUGUCUUCUCAUAGCUAAGGUCUUGUAGUAAGCACUGAAACCUAGGGCACCACUUCCCCAGACUCUUACAGAGACCAAAGUACAUAUUAGCAAAUACGUAAUACAACAUAAUAUAGUAUAUGUAUAAUAUAUGUGAUAUGCAAACAAUACAAGAUAAUAAAUAUAAGAUACUAAACACAAGAAACUAAAAAAAAAUAAACUAAAUAAAAAUUAAUAUUAAGCUAACAUCGGAGUUCUUGUUGUGGCCCAGUGAUAAUGAACCUGACUAGUAUCCAUGAGAAUGUGGAUUCGAUCCCUGGCCUCAUUCAGUGGGUUAAGGAUCCGGCGUUGCCAUGAGCUGUGGUGUAGGUCACAGACGCAGCUUGGAUCUGGCAUUGAUGAGGCUGUGGUGUAGGCCGGCAGCUGUAGCUCCGAUUUGACUCCUAGCCUGGGAACUUCAUAUGCCAUGGGUGCAGCCCUAAGAAAAAAAAAAAAAA
rnacentral:lncRNA from 1 species